UGUUAAUCCUUUUACCGAAUUAUAGGUGAAGUGCAGUGUGAGCAACCAAAUAAUUCACUGUACACCUUCACUGGAAAUCUUAUAAUGCAAAAGCAAACAUUACCUCUCUCUCCAAACCAGCUUUUAUUGAGAGGAUGUAGUCUCAGGAACACAGAGUACAUUGUUGGGGCUGUAAUUUUUUCAGGUCAUGAAACAAAGGUGAUGAUGAAUACUAUGAAUGCUCCUUCCAAGAGAAGUACC